AUAAAGUCAACUUUGCAUGGAUACAAUAUUAAAAUUGUAAUAUUUUUAUUUCAUUACACCCUACAAAGUCGUUUAAUAAUAAAUAAUAAUAAUCGUUGUGUGAUUCCCUCACUCACCAAGUUCGGGGUUGGGACUAUUUUCUCUCUCUGAUGACGAGGACGAGGCGGAGGGAAAAAUGUUUGCCGCAGAUGAUGACGUCACGAGUCUGGCGACAGCAUGUCUGAGUGAGGCGGGAACGCUCUGCACGUGAAAUAAAAAAAAUGAAGGACGGAAGGAGGGGAAAAAUGAAAAUGAUGAAAAAGAGGAAAAGAGACUAUGAUGACUAUCUCGGUUAAAGAGGAAGCUUGGAGCAGGGCCUGUCUCCAGCCAGAUGGGGGCAGGGGGUAGAGGCACGUUGACCGCCCCCCCCCAAAAGAGCUUCCGUGAUGACAUCAACUCUAAAAGAAAAAUACGAACAUCACGCAGCAUUUGAAGGCAACAAGAAGUCGUCUGCCCAUAGCUGCAGAUCCCAGGCUGGACUUGACCCAAAGGAGGCGCCCCCACCGUGUCCUCAUCUGAUCUGCUGAGGAUAAAUGUUAUCACAGCAACGAACGACCGAGUGACAAAAUGUCUCCAGCCCGCCUUUUCAUCGAAGCCUCGAAGAACAUAGCAGCCGCAGAUCGUCAGCACGGCGCAACGAGCCACACCUGAGAGCCUAGAAGUCAGUCUGCAGGCGUCCAUCCAUGAGGCCAGAGGUGUUUGAGGAAGUGGGAAAAAGAGUAACUGGAUCCCCGCCCCACUGGUGUUCCUGUGGGGGUCAAACAGUCUUGGUGGGACGACUCAUCUACUUUGCUCAGACUUCCCCGCCUACCUUCAGGCCGCUCUGCACCAGCUUGUGGAUAUCCAGGAAGGGCUCCUUGAGCAGCUGGAGUUCAUGGGUGAGUAUCCGGACAAAUCCCUCCCUUUCCAGGACAAAGAGACGCUGGGAUCCAUCCCCGCAGUGCACGACGGCCACCGGCUGCCGCAGACCACUCAACACCUCCUGGGCACAGUAGCAGUUGUGUUUGUGUUUCCUGGGCAACGGCGGAGAUACAGAGAGGUCAGAGAGGAGGACACCGCAGGGACGAGCAAUGCAGUUUGGUAAUAGGGAUUAGGGCAGGGGUGGGAAAACUACGGCCCGGGGGCCACAUGCGGCCCAACAAGCGUUUGGAUCCGGCCCGCCAGUGGCUUUCUGAGUAUUUCAACUUUUAACAUACAAACUGGAAACAUGACUUGCAAGUCGGACGUCUUUUUUAGUAAAAAAAAACAAACAAAAAAAACAACAAAACUGUAAAAUGAAAUGACAUAGUUAGAUGUCGUCUGAACAUACAGCUCAUAGUAUAACACUUUUACAGAUAAAAUUAGACAAAAAAGGAAAAUUAUAAGCAUAAAUUGUGUGUGUAUGUUAAAUAUAUGUUCUGCCCCCCCCCCCACGGGUAAAAAUAUUUGCCCACCCCUGGCAUAGGGGAAUGGGAGUAGUAGUAAGUGGAAGGCCAGUAGUUCACAAAGUGCAUUCUGUGCUUUUUUGUGUAUUGACGUCAUUCAUUAAUAAUCUAAACCAGUGGUUCCCAACUGGUGGGUCUGGACCCAAAAGUGGGUUGUGGGUCUUUGCCGAUAAAACAAGUUAAGUAAUAAUGUUAAAGUAAUAAUAAUAAUAAUAAUAAUAAAAGGGCUGCACGGCGGUCGAGUGGUUAGCGCGCAGACCUCACAGCUAGGAGACCCGGGUUCGAUCCCACCCUCGGCCGGGUACUCCGGUUUCCUCCCACAUUCCAAAAACAUGCUAGGCUAA